AAGUCGUAACAAGGUUUCCGUAGGUGAACCUGCGGAAGGAUCAUUACCGCGCCUGUAGUUGUUGGCGGGCUCCCUCGGGGGUUCGUUCAGCGCUACAUCCGGCCCAACCGUGUCUAUUUCUACCUGUUGCUUCGGCGGGCCUGCGGGCUUGCUCGCUGCCGGAAGCCCCUAAGGCUUCGGGCUCGUGUCCGCCGAAGACGCCUAGAACUACUGUUGAACUUGGCGGUCUGAGUAAACUUGAUUAAUUAUCAAAACUUUCAACAACGGAUCUCUUGGUUCCA
rnacentral:misc_RNA from 1 species